GUGCUUACCUCAGCGGCACAUACACUGAAAUUGGAACUAUAAAGAGAACAUUAGCACAGCGCUUGCACAAAGAUGACACACAAAUUCACAGAGUGUCCCACAUUAGA
ensembl:snRNA U6 U6 spliceosomal RNA